rnacentral:rRNA from 1 species
UACGUAGGGUGCGAGCGUUAAUCGGAAUUACUGGGCGUAAAGCGUGCGCAGGCGGUUUUGUAAGACAGGCGUGAAAUCCCCGGGCUUAACCUGGGAACUGCAUGUCGAACUGCCAGGCUAGAGUAUGGUAGAGGGGUGUGGAAUUUCCGGUGUAGCGGUGAAAUGCGUAGAUAUCGGAAGGAACAUCAGUGGCGAAGGCGACACCCUGGACC